rnacentral:rRNA from 1 species
GAAGAGGACAUCUGAUUUACACUAAAGAUUCAUCGGUAAGGGAUGGGGAUGCGUCCGAUUAGGUAGUCGGCGGGGUAACGGCCCACCGAGCCCGCGAUCGGUAGGGGUUCUGAGAGGAAGGUCCCCCACAUUGGAACUGAGACACGGUCCAAACUCCUACGGGAGGCAGCAGUGAGGAAUAUUGGUCAAUGGGCGCGAGCCUGAACCAGCCAAGUAGCGUGAGGGAAGACUGCCCUAUGGGUUGUAAACCUCUUUAGUCUGGGAAUAAAGUUGGCGACGUGUCGCCUUUUGUAGGUACCAGAAGAAUAAGGACCGGCUAAUUCCGUGCCAGCAGCCGCGGUAAUACGGAAGGUCCGGGCGUUAUCCGGAUUUAUUGGGUUUAAAGGGAGCGCAGGCGGCCUUAUAAGCGGGCAGUUAAAGGCGGUGGCUCAACCAUCGUUAGCUGUCCGAACUGUGAGGCUUGAGUACGUGCGAGGUAUGCGGAAUUCGUGGUGUAGCGGUGAAAUGCUUAGAUAUCACGAAGAACCCCGAUUGCGAAGGCAGCAUACCAGUGCGCCACUGACGCUAAAGCUCGAAAGCGCGGGUAUCGAACAGGAUUAGAUACCCUGGUAGUCCGCGCGGUAAACGAUGGAUGCCCGCUGUGCGGCCUUUUAUGGUUGCGCGGCCAAGCGAAAGCGUUAAGCAUCCCACCUGGGGAGUACGCCGGCAACGGUGAAACUCAAAGGAAUUGACGGGGGCCCGCACAAGCGGAGGAACAUGUGGUUUAAUUCGAUGAUACGCGAGGAACUUUACCCGGGCUUGAAUUGCAGCUGCAUGGGCGAGAGAUCGCCCUUCCCUUCGGGGCUGCUGUGAAGGUGCUGCAUGGUUGUCGUCAGCUCGUGCCGUGAGGUGUCGGCUUAAGUGCCAUAACGAGCGCAACCCCUUUCUACGGUUGCCAUCGGGUAAUGCCGGGCACUCCGUGGACACUGCCACCGCAAGGUGUGAGGAAGGUGGGGAUGACGUCAAAUCAGCACGGCCCUUACGUCCGGGGCUACACACGUGUUACAAUGGCAGGCACAGAGAGCAGGCGCUCCGCAAGGCGCGUCGAAUCCUUAAAUCCUGCCUCAGUUCGGACUGGGGUCUGCAACCCGACCCCACGAAGCUGGAUUCGCUAGUAAUCGCGCAUCAGCCAUGGCGCGGUGAAUACGUUCCCGGGCCUUGUACACACCGCCCGUCAAGCCAUGAAAGCCGGGGGCGCCUGAAGUCCGUGACCGCAAGGGUCGGCCUAGGU